rnacentral:lncRNA from 1 species
AACAAGUCAAGCAAAGACUUUUGCAAGAAAUCUGAGGAAAUAUGAGUGGAACUUUGAGACUGAAUCUUGUGGAAAUAAUAUUGUUAUAUUUCUUUCUCGAUACGAUAGGCAGGUAAUUAAAAAAUGUUCAUCCUUGUUUUUAUCGAGUCACCAAUUUGAUAUAAACAUACGUAAAAGGAGGAUUUUUAUCAUAGUUAACUGGAUGAUGUAUAUAUCUAUCAUCUAUAAAAAGAAACAGAAUUGUUACGAAUGUC